CUGCUCCAGACACUCUUCUCUCGCCGCAGAAAGCGUUGCGGCAAAGAGGGUCGGAGGUCUUGUGUUUGGCUGACCCAGCAGUGUCCUCUCCUUCAAAAGAGGCAACUUGGGCCUUUACCAAGUUCACAGAGGAGGGAGAGAGAGAGAGAGAGAGAGAGAGAGAGAGAGAGAGAGAGAGAGAGAGAGAGAGAGAGAGAGAGGAGAGAGAGAGAGGAGAGAGAGAGAGAGAGAGAGAGAGAGAGAGAGAGAGAGAGAGAGAGAGAGAGAUCUAAGCACCUCUAUUUCUUCACCUCCUGGGGCAGAGCGGCUCCUUGCAGGCAGAGAGAAACAAACCCUAGGAGAGCCCAAAGGAGUCAGGCAGUCGCUGAGCCAGCCUAGGAACCAGCCCGAUGCCCAGGGGGAAGCAGAAAUAAAGCUUGCCAUUCCAAUACCCACAACCACGGCAGACCUCUGGGAUAAGUACAGGUUCCCAAAUGUAGAGCCCACAACCCCGAGCUCCGCAGGAUCUUGAGUUUGUCUUGGGGACCACUGUACUUUAAAAAUAAAAAAUAAAUAAAUAAAUUAAUUAAUUAAUUAAAAUUUUAAAAAAUCAUUCAAAAGGCCGUGGAUAGCCAGGUGUGGUGGCGCAUGCCUUUAAUCCCAGCACGGAGGCAGGUAGAUCGCUGAGUUUGAGGACUCCCUGGUCUACAGCGUGAGUUCUAGGACAGACAGAGCUAGACAGAGAAACCCUAUCUCAAACAAACAAAGUUCAAAAGGCCAUGGAGAGACAGGAGUAGGUUUUCUUUCUCCUAAGAGAAGACCUAGGAGCUCCAAAUUGGUUCUAAAUGGACCAAUUAAAUGGACCAAAAAGGUUCUAAAAUGGACGAAGUUGCAGACUGGGGGGGCCCUGCCCCUGGUCCCCCGUUUCUGCCCUGAAUGAAAGCCCCACUGCUUACCCAGAUUACAGAUGGGGAAAUUGAGGACCUGAUUCAUGGCUGCCUGGUACCAAGGUCAGUGUUCUUCAACUCAUACAGCACAGGAACCAAGGAAACGCCAUCCAGUGAGAAGAACAGUAGGACCAACUAGGACUGCAGAAUCGGCUUUUGACAGCAAAGACAUUUUCAUUACGGCUGGUCUCACUCACGUACUCUGCGGCCACCUGGCAGAGCAGGCGUGGGCUAGACUCUCACAUGUCUGGAGCCUUUGUUGCGACAUCUGGGCCGACUGGGCUCUGUUGAAUAUGUAUGGUCUCUCAUCCUUCAAGAGGCUAGCCCAGGCUUGCACACUCUGAAGAGGCAGCCAGCUGCAAUGUGAGUGCUUCUACCACUUGAGCUUGGAGCUAUUCAACCAUCACUUUCAGCGAUGUCAGCUGCCAUGGCAACUCCAAAGGCCAUCCAUCCCAAGGAUAGAGGCUGGAAGGAGCUGCAAAGUUCCUUGACAAAGACCAUGGACACAGGGAGAGGUGAGGAACCUACACAUUGCAUGCUCACAACCCUAAUGGUCCAGGCUCUUUCUGCCUGCUCCGCAUUCCCAUCACAGGCCCAACUACAUCUCUGUAGUAAACAGGGGCACCAAGCUCAGGAGCCACUCUCUCGUGCUCCACAUCAGGACCAAAUGCAGCUCUUCUUGAUCCAGACUCCAAUGGACAAGUUAUCCACUAAGGGCAACUACAAAAGUCACAGGUACUUAGCUUGGAGAGAAGAGAGAGCCAUGGCAACAGCCAGCCUAUAGCAAUUCUGAAACCUUGUUACAAAGAUGCUUCUAGUUAUUAUUCCUGGGUGUGGAGAAGUUCUCCAAUCAGUCCAAAGAUUUAUGUCAUAGCCAUUCUCCACGGCACCUGCCUCUUGUGAUGUCUUCCCCUUUCUGCCAUCCUUCAUGCCUCUUCUCAUAUGUUGUAAGAUACAUCCUUAUUUAUUUAUGUGUAUGAGUAGCUGUCUUCAGACACACCAGAAGAGGGCAUUGGAUCCCAUUUCAGAAGGUUGUGAGCCACGGUGCGAUUGCUGGGACUUGAACUCAGAACCUCUGGAAGAACAGUCAGUGCUCUUAACCACUGAGCCAUCUCUCCAGCCCCCAGAAAACCCUUAUUCAUUUUAUAUUUAUGAGUACACUGUUGCUGUCUUCGGACACACCAGAAAAGGGCAUCUGAACCCAUUACACAUGGUUGUGAGCCACCAUGUGGUUGCUGGGAAUUGAACUCUGGACUUCGGGAAGUCAGUGCUCUUAACUUCUGAGCCAUCUCUCCAGCCCCCUUUUUAUAUUUUGAACCUCAUGGAAUCAUUCACUUCCUUGUGACAACACAGCUUUCUAAACAUUAUUCAUCUGACUGCGUUGGUUGCACUCCAUACACCAGAAGACAAACCAGCAAAAACCAGUUCCAUCUUGUCAGCCCUCUUUGUAAUAGUGUUUUCGAACGGGGUAGCUCACGCACUGGGUUUAUGUUCACUCGUAGCACCUUAUCAAUGUUAUUUCAGCUUUAAGUUGACUGAGACGGUGGUGGUUUCAAAAAGCUUGGCCCAUGGGAAGUGGCACCAUUAGGAGGUGUGGCCUUGUUGGGAUAGGUGUGGCCUUGUUGGAGGAAGUGUGUCACUGUGCUAGGCAGGCUUUGAGGGUGACUAGCACUCAAGCUCUACUCAGUGUGUAAGAGACCCUCCUGCUGGCUGCCUGUGGAUGCCAGUCUCCUGCUGCCGCCUUUGAAUCAAGAUGUAGAACUCUUGGCUCUCCCAGCCCCAUGCCUGCCUGGAUGCUGCCAUGCUUCCCGCCAUGAUGAUAAUAGACUGAACCUCUGAAAUUGUAAGCCAGCCCCAAUUAAA